rnacentral:rRNA from 1 species
UACAGAGAGUGCAAGCGUUAAUCGGAAUUACUGGGCGUAAAGGGCGCGUAGGUGGAUAAAUGCGUGAGAUGUGAAAGUCCCGGGCUUAACCUGGGGAUUGCAUCUGAUACGGUUUGUCUAGAGUCUAGGAGAGGGGAGUGGAAUUUCCGGAGUAGCGGUGAAAUGCGUAGAUAUCGGAAGGAACACCUGAGGCGAAGGCGGCUCUCUGGCCAAAGACUGACACUGAUGCGCGAAAGCGUGGGGAGCGAACAGG